AGGCAGGAAAAUAGCUUGAACCUGGGAGGAGGAGUUUGUGUAAGCCAAGAUCGCGCCACUGCACUCCAGUCUGGGUGACAGAGCAAGACUCCAUCUCAAAAAAAAAAGAAAAAGAAAAACAAAAGAAAAGAAUUAUCUCUGGGCCUGGGAAAUGCAGAGCAUUGGUUGGUUGUUGUUCUAGCUAGAGGCAGAAGGAUGGACUUGGUGUAUAGAGAUCCCUGUUGACUAGUCUUCAGAUGCCUCAUCUCUAAGAUUGUCUUUCCUUUGUUCCUUGUUCCUUUAUUUCAUGUUUUCAGAAACAUAGUGGUCCCAUGUUUGAGACAUGUCCAAUUAGCUCCAUGUAUAGCCUCCUCUCCUUCCUUUUCUAAAAUAUUUAGAGAGCAGCUCCUAUAUGCCAAGAACUCUUUUUGUUGUUUUUGAGACAGGGUCUCACUGUUACCCAGGCUGGAGUACAGUGGUAUGAUCACAGCUCACUGCAGUAUCCACCUCUGAGGCUCAAGUGAUCCUCCCACCUCAGCCUCCUGGGUAGCUGGGACAACAGGCUCAUGUCCCCACACCUGGCUAAUGACUUUUGCCACGUUGCCCAGGCUGGUCUUGAACUCCUGGGCUCAAGCAAUCCACCUGCCUCAACCUUCUAAAGUGUUGGGAUUAGAGGCAUGAGCCACUGCACCCAGCCUUGUGCCAAGAACUCUUAAUGCAGUUGAGAUACUGUGCUGGACAAGACAGACAAGGUCCUUGACCUCAUGGGGCUUACAUUCUAGAAGGAGGUUUGCAAACUAUAGCCAGCAGGCCCACUGCAUAUUUUUGUAAGGUCCAAGAGCUAUAAAUAGUUUUUAUAUUUUAAAAGAUUUUUCUAAAUCAAAAGAAUAUUUCAAAACACAUGAAAGUUAUAUGAAUUCCAACUUUCAGAAUCCACAAAGUUUUACUGGAACACAGCCAGAUCCAUUCAUUUAUACAUUGCCUAAUUGUGUUCUUUCACACUGAAACAGCAGAGGUGAGCAAUGGGGCAGAGCCCGUGCAGCCACAAAGCCUAGACCGUUUUCUAUCUGGACCUUUACUGAAAAGUUCUGCUGUUGAAGGCAGCAGACCAAACAGGAAAAUAAUAUGGUUACAGACUGUGGAAGACAGAGGACAUAAUUGGGGUGAGCUGACAAGGUCAGAGAAGACAUCGCUGGCUCUCCAGUAACAAAAUGUUAGCUUGGGAAGGCCUGUGGCAGGAGGCGGGGGGAAUCCAGGCAAUAGAAAUAGCAAGUACCAAGACCUGAGGCAGGAAGAGCCAGAAAACCAGCAAGUGCUGGGGCAAGUGAGAAUGGGAUGUAAGGAGGGGAACAUGAGAGAGUUAAAGAGAAGUUGAUCAAUGGGUACAAAUAUAUGGUUUGAUAGAAGAAAUAAGAACUAGUAUUAGAGAGAUCAGUAGAGUGACUAUAGCUUACAAUAAUCUGUUGUACACUUCAAAAUAGCUAGCAGAGACUUCAAAUGGUUUUAACAUAAAGGCAUAUAUUUAAGGUGAUAGAUAUCCCAAAUAUACUGAUUUUAUCUUUACAAAUUAUAUGAAUUAUUGCAUAUAUCCCAAAAUUAUGUACAUCCAUUAUGUAUCUUUUUUUUCCUUUAAAGGUGAGUUAGGCAGAACCUGAUUACUUUGACUGCAGGGUGAUGGCACGGAAAUACAAGUAUUGAGUAGACUCCAGAUGUAUUUUGGAGGCAGAGUCCACAAAACUUGGUGUUGGAUUGGAUGUAGGGAAAGGGAAGAGUGAAGGGUAGGGGCCAGAUUUCUGGCUCAAACUAGGCUGGUGGCACCAUUGCUGAGAUGCGGAGAACUGGAGAGUCACAGUUUGCAUAAGACUAGGGAGAGAAAUCGAGAACUUGUCUUUAAGAAGUCCAGGGAAAGAUGUCAAAUAGAUUGUUUGAUCUAAAGGUCUAGAACUCAGAGCAGAGUUUGGGAUGGAGACAGGAAAUCUGACAAGCCUGCCUUCUGAGGUUGUGUGUUUAAGAAGACUCAUCUUCAAGAUCCCACUCAUGCACCAGCUGCCUCCUUGCCUAUAGGCCAUGGGGCUUCCAUGGCUGGCAGCAGCAGAUGCUCUAAGGAAGCCCCUCCUCUUCCAACAAAAGGAGUGCCUGAUGACAUGCAUCGGGCCAUCUGACAAACAUUUGUGAGCAUCUUUUGAGUCCCAUUAUCUCCUUAAGUCACACGUCAGUCACUACCUACUGUCCCUAGGCAUGAAGCCAUUGCAUAGGCAGGACUCCUCGAGGGAGGAUGAGUUUUUAUUACAAGGUCACCACACCCCAUUAUACAGGGCUCAUGAAAAAUGUUUCCCGCCCAACUUCAAGAAACUAGGGCCUGUAAAAACCUACCUCCUGCUUUCAGCAGGAAAGCUCAGCUUGGAAACUCCAGGGUGGUUAGGUAGACAAGAGGGCUCUCUAGACUUCUAAGAGCAUUAUGACUUAAGUGGGUCACUGAAAAACUAUUAGGAAGGUUACCUCCCAGGCAACACUAGCACUAGCUCCCCAUCUUCCUGGCAAGCUCCAUCCUAUAAGUAGGCAAGCACAAAAUUACCCAAUUUGUACCCAAGAUCCCCUCUGCAUUCUUUCAAGCUGCAAGGACAUUCCAACAUCCAAUUCAUAGAAGUGUUUACCAGCUCCCAAGGUCCACAGCUGACUCAACACAUUAAUUUCCCAUCUCCACCGCAGGGUACUAAGUGAAGACAUUCCAAGUACCAGGAAACCAUCAAGUGACAAUCUUGACAAAAGUUUUGUGUGCUGCCUUGGAAACACCACUAGCUCAAAUCUAGAAGUUGGGUUCUGUGUACUGGUUCUUCCACCAACUGGCUGUUUGGCACAGGAUAUCCCCUCUCUGGAUCAGACUUUUCAUCUGUAGCAUGAAGGAGUUCAUUUCCUGUUUCAGAAGGCAUCUGAUAAGCAUGGCAGAUGCUGUGCUAGGCCCAGGGAUACAGAUACUGGUAGAAAGGUCCCUGCUCUCAAGGAAACGAGAGUUGAAGUUGGAUCCUCUCACAGGGUGGCAUGGACAAAGAGAUCAUGCUGCAUCUGGUAUGCUCAGGGCUAAGCACAUGACAGGAAUAACCUCACUUUGCCUAGCAAUCCUAUGAAAAAGGCACUCUUACUAUCCCAUUUUAACAGAUGCAGGAACCAAGAUUUAGAGUAAGUCACUUAUCCAAUCAAGGCACAUACUUUAGAGCAAGUAAGAGGCAAAGCUGGGGCUCAGUCCCAGGAAGGCUGAAUUCUGGUGCCCUUGUUCUUCAACACCCGAAGGCCCUCUCAGUUGGAUACAGCUUACCAGACAGGUUAUGUCCUGCAAUGCCAGUGCCAACGUUCAGUCAGUCCAUGAGCAGAGGGCCCCCAACAGCUUUGUAUGGUCUGAUAAUUAUAUGCUGUGCCACUUUCUGAGACUCUCUGGACUCCAGCUUCCCCAGAAGCAGCCCAGGAUAUCCAAUACAGGAGGCUCCUCAGAAGCCAUCAAGGCAAAUCCUCUUAUUCUUAUAGAUGGGGGAAACUGAGGCAGGAAGCAGCAGAAUGACUCGACAAAAGUCUCUCCAAGAAUUAGCAGGAGAGCAAUGCCAGGAUCUCAGUGGAAGUCCAACCUCAUGGUCUCAUCCAUUUCCAUUCUACUUCUUGAGUGCCAUUUCUUAAUGAAGGAGAAAACUGGGGCUCAGAUAAAGGAACGAGUUUAACCAAAGUCCCCAGCCAGAAAGUAACAAAGCAAGGACUUGAACCAUCUAUUGCUGGAGGCGAGAUGCAAACCAGUUAGGAGCAUGGGCUUUGAAAGCAGAGGAAGUUGGGUUUGGACAAUCCUUACUAUGCAACUUUAGGUAAUUGAUCUGACACCUGCAAACUGGGAACAAUCCUAGUGGUGCCCUCAUUAGGUCAUUAUGAGGAUAACAGAGGGAGGCUGGCACAAACAAAGGGUCGAGCACACUGUUUGGAAAAUAGCAAGCGCUCCACAAAUGGCAAGCCCUGGUAAACAUUUAUUGAACACCUACUGUGUGCCAGGUACAAUUCCAGUGUUUUUAUCCUUCUUUACAACCUACUUGGUGGGUCUUCUCCUACUUUUCAUAUGGACAAAUUGUAGUCAGUCACUCAUCCCAAUUGCCUAGCUGUUGACAGGAUUGAAAUCUGCACAUUCUCCUCCAGACCCCUGAACUCUUCCUUGCUGAGCUAUACUCCUGCCUGCACCUGCCUUCAGUGUUGUAGUAAAACAGGCCUAGGGAGGGCAUGGUUGGCAUUCUUUCUACCACACAGCAAAGUUGCCCUUCCAAAAAAAGCCAUGGGGGAUGAGCAGGGAGAGAAGCCAGGGACCGGUGGGUCACACCAUGCAAGGAGGUAGGAAGCAGUCGUCUCCAGGGCUGACAGCAGUAAACACAUUUCUGACCAGGCAAGGUCUCAACAGCCCAGAAGGCCAGGAAGACCAGGCCUGGAUCCCUGCUCUCAUACCCCAUCUUCUCACAAUGCUGGGGAAAUGAGAGUUCUUGUUUGGAUGGGCUUUGUGGUAUGGCCAACUCUGGGGAGAGACUGGCUUUCGCAGAUACCAUGGAUGCAGGCUUUAAUAAAUUGAAAGGGCCAUGCUCAGCCUGGCCCUCCUUGGCCCAGAAGUGAGCAGGGUAGGUAAAGUCUGCCUUUUUCACUCAAAUGACAGCUUGUCUUCUUAAGCAGAAGUGAGGCUCCAGGAAUAGCUCCACUUAGAGCAAAUGGGCUUGUCUGCCACAUCUUGGAGUAUUUGUCUUCUUUCCACAGCGUUUUUCUUUGGAUCUACAUGAUGUUAGGGCUGUUCCUCCACUUCAUUCCAUUCUGAGGCUCGCAGCUCUCCCAUGUGCUUCAGAGAAAUAACAGAACUGCAGGAGGGUCUUACAGUUCAGCAUAGCUGGAGAAGCCUCAGGAAACUUACAAUAAUGGCAGAAGGGGAAGCAAACACAUAUUCUUCACAUGGUGGCAGCGACGAAAAGUGCAGAGUGAAGCAGGGGGAAAAGCACCUUAUAAAACCAUCAGA
rnacentral:lncRNA from 10 species